UACGUAGGGUCCGAGCGUUGUCCGGAAUUACUGGGCGUAAAGAGCUCGUAGGUGGUUUGUCGCGUUGUUCGUGAAAACUCACAGCUCAACUGUGGGCGUGCGGGCGAUACGGGCAGACUAGAGUACUGCAGGGGAGACUGGAAUUCCUGGUGUAGCGGUGGAAUGCGCAGAUAUCAGGAGGAACACCGGUGGCGAAGGCGGGUCUCUGGGCAGUAACUGACGCUGGAGGAGCGGAAAGCGUGGGAGCGAACAGG
rnacentral:rRNA from 1 species